AUGAACAUCAGGGGCCCAUCUCAGCUCCUGGUGCUCCUGCUGCUCUGGCUCCCAGGUGCACAAUGUGACAUCCAGAUGACCCAGUCUGCAUCCUCAGUGUCUGCUUCUCUAGGAGGCAGAGUCAUCAUCACUUACAGAGCCAGUCAGAACAUUUACAGCAAUUUAAAUGUGUAUGAGCAGAAACCACAGAAAGCUCCAAAGCUCCUGAUCUAUGUUGCAAGCAAGUUUGAAACCAGGAUCCCACUAAGGUUUAGUGACAGUGGAUUUGGGACAGAUUUCACUCUCACCAUCAGAAGCCUGGAGCCUGAAGAUGUUGGAACUUAUUACUGUCAACAAGAUUAUGGUUCCCCUCCCACAGUGAUAGAAACCGUAACAUAA